CCUACGGGGGGCAGCAGUGGGGAAUAUUGGACAAUGGGGGCAACCCUGAUCCAGCCAUGCCGCGUGUGUGAAGAAGGCCCUCGGGUUGUAAAGCACUUUCAGUGAGGAAGAACGCCUGGUGGUUAAUACCCAUCAGGAAAGACAUCACUCACAGAAGAAGCACCGGCUAACUCCGUGCCAGCAGCCGCGGUAAUACGGAGGGUGCGAGCGUUAAUCGGAAUUACUGGGCGUAAAGCGCGCGUAGGUGGCUUGAUAAGCCGGUUGUGAAAGCCCCGGGCUCAACCUGGGGACGGCAUCCGGAACUGUCAAGCUAGAGUGCAGGAGAGGAAGGUAGAAUUCCCGGUGUAGCGGUGAAAUGCGUAGAGAUCGGGAGGAAUACCAGUGGCGAAGGCGGCCUUCCGGACUGACACUGACACUGAGGUGCGAAAGCGUGGGUAGCAAACAGGAUUAGAUACCCUAGUAGUC
rnacentral:rRNA from 1 species